AUGAGAUAUGGCAAGAAAAAAAAUGCGCGUCGUCCUUACGGCAGGCUACACGUUGGACUUUUUUCUCCCCCUCUCUCUUCUUUUACAAAUGUAUAUUGUUUGUGCAAUGCAGUCAUAAUAUUUACGCAGGGACGCGGGAGGAGUGAGGUGGAGACUCAGCCGAGCUGGGAGCGCACAAACUCGGACGGAGGACUUGAGAUCGACUCCUGCAGGGGAGAGAAAUCACGGCGCGAUCCGGGAUCCGAGGCUCGAGUGGGCAGGCGUGCGGCUUUGGCCACAGGAAGCUGUGAAUUCUUCGGAGAAUGGAAGAUGUCUCACGGGGAGAUGUGCUGCACCCCCGCCACCCACACUCCACCCCAAGAUGACCCCUGACCCUUUCUCGUGUUUAUAUCAGGCCAUGGAAGUGACAAAUAGUGAUGAGUCACUCUUGCCGAGUGUUUACACUCCGGAGUCACGCAAGGAAGGAAAUCAGCCACGGUCUGCUAAAAGUGGCGAGGUGAGAGAGAGGAGCUGCUGUGAUUUACCUCUCAGAGUCGUUAUUUGUUUCACAUCACCUCUGCUGAGCAAAUGAUCUUCCAACAGAAAGCAGCAGAAAAAGCUGAGGAUUGUAGUCGAGGAAAGCAAAGACUGCUUGGGGCAGACCAUGUAAUCGCUGCAGGGGUAGGUGUGCUUCUGUUUCCCAGCUUCAAACAAGCUCUUUUCAGAAACUUUGAUGGAAUCUGAAUAUUAGUUAAUGCAUUCUAUGAGAUUUUAUUAGAAAUGUUCACAUUCUAAUAUGUUUCUCUGAAUCAGGGAUCAGUUAAAAUUGUCUCGAUAAACAUGUUCUAUCUUUUGUAAACGACUCAUUCCAACUUAAACUACAGAUGGCUUGUAAACUUUUUAUAAAAUAAAAAUUAUGAAAAGUGGGAUGCAUUUGUAUUCAGACUUCUGACUCAGAACUCAAAACUGCCUUUUUCUGAAAUUACAACUGCACAAUCUCAGUCAGAUUGGAUGGAGCCCUGUGUGACUAUCUCUUUUUAAAUCUUGCCACAAAUUCUCAAUUUGAUUCAAGUCUGACUUUGAGCUCUUGUGAUGCUGUUUGGAUUCGUUGUCCUGCUGUAAAGUGAACCUCUAUCCCAGUCAAAAGUCUUUGGUGGCCUCUUACUGCACAUUUAUCUCCAUCCAUCUUUCCAUCAACUCUCAGAAAUGUACACCUUUCUUGUGGAUAAAAGCAAAGUACGAAGCAAUCCAUCAUUCUUCUUCGCAUGUUCAGGGUGACAGUUUCCCUCCACAAACGGCGUUGGCCUAAAACUGUCCUAACACUGCCAAAACUAAAGUCACGAGUGUUCAUAUCCAACACACAGGAAUGCGUUCUUUGAUUUACCAGUACAGUUAUCAUUUUUUUUAUAAUCCUACCAUAGGUAUACAGUAAUUCAGCCAUUUCUCUGUUAUAAUUAGGUUUCGAUAAUAUUUAAAAUACAUACUAUGUAAAUGAAAAGCUAAAGUGUAUCAGCUGUACAUUUUUGAAAAGCUGUAUUUUCUCAAUUUUUGGUUAUAAUCUGCAUGUCAGUCAGGUUUCUAAUCAGUCAUUGUUAUCAAUUCACUGACUAAAAUUAAAGGUUUAGGUCUUGAUUGUUAAUAUGCAAAGAAAUUUGUGCACAAACCAAUCUAACAGUUUUAACGACACAUUGUUAGCAUUAUUUUCUUGCACGUUAAAUACUGGGACAUUAGUUUAUUUUGAGGUGUUUGUAUGCUUAGAAUGAUAGAAUAAUAUAAUGUAAAUUACACUGUCAUAUAUGAUGAUGUACCUAAAUCAAAAGUGACACCUAACACCAAAGGGCUGCACAUCCCUGUGUUUACUGUGCCUUCCUCUGCUUUUUCAAACAUUAAGCGUCAUUGUUGUGCUGAAAGUUGAGUGACUUUACAGUACGGAUUGCACAGCUGUUGUUUUCCAGACGCGGCUUCACUUGGUGCUGUUGUGUCCUGUAAAAUUAAAGUGAUGCUUUUUACUCUUUCCAUCACCACUUUGGUGCGAGUAGCUUCGCUGCAGACUGCAGCCGGUGUCCUUUUACACACCGGCAUACACACCGCCACAAUGAGAGAGUGAAACCACUCUUAUUUUGGCCAAUCUCUCCUGAAUUGUAAGUCCUGUCAGGAACCUUGAUUGAUUGUUGUGUUUAUCACCAUGUUAUUAAGAAAUCAGGCUCACCGCAGCCAGGCCUGAAGUUCCUUAAUUCCAACUUUGUGCUAAUUAAAGGUUUGCUUCACAGGUUUAGUUUUCUCAUUUUCUUUUCUUUAAAUAUAGACGUCUUUUUUUUUUUUUAAGCGAGCAUAUUGUUGCAUUUUUUGCACUGCCUGGACCAUCUAGUACCAAGUGCAGUGUGGUACUCUGUGGUACAAACAGAAAAUCCUCAUUUUUACACUGCAUAGUUAAUGAGUUCAUGCCUGUAGAUCAGCAGAGAUCCAGACUCGCGUUGUUAAUAGAGCUGGCAGCAGGCUGCGUUUGUGUAUCUCUGAGGUAAACACAGUUAUGGCAAAGUGGACUCUCUGCUCAGUGUGUCCUGAACGGAGACACAGAGCGCUAUGGCACUGUACUUUUUGACGCACUGGCGGCUCUUUAGACAUGGGGUUAAUGUGAUGAAUGGCCAUUUGGUAAUGGGCCAUGUAUUAGGCUGAAACGACUCUUUUAAAAGCCACAGUUUGAGCCUUCGCCAUGGGCAGUUUGGAUCAGCAAUCACUCAGGUGGCAGAUGUUUGGUGUUGGACUGAACAACUCUACCCUGCUUUCUGUCUUUUCGACUUCCUCAACUAAAAACAGGCAUAAUGCCGUCUAAAGCAGCAAAAUUGUGAAAACAAAACAAAACGCAUAUUUGUGCAAAUGACAAAUGAUUUUCAUAUGUGAAGAUCAUUUUUUUAAAAUCUAAUAUUGUGGUGUGCAUUUGUAUUCAACCCAUUUUAAUUUUUUUGGCCCCCUAAAAAACCCAGUGCACAUCAGGAAACACCUAAUUAGUAAAUGUUCAAUCUGUAUGUAAUUGAAUCUCUGAAUUAAUCCAGCUGUUCUGCGAAGGCCUCAGAGGUUUGGAAAUCCUGGAAAAGUUAAAGGUGUUAGUUAAAGGAGCUGCAGAGAUCCAAGUAAAUCUGUUGACAGGAACACUGCAGCUGAAGCACUUCACACACCUGGCCUCACUGGAAGAGUGACGCUGAACUGUUAAAGCAAAGCCAAAUGAGGUUUCAAUUACAGUAUCUCAUAAGCCAUGGAGGGGACACAGAAAACAAAACCAAUCGUUUUGGCCAACAUGCAAAAGACUGUGUGGAGGGAAAAUAAUACAUGUCACAACCCCAUGAAAUAUGGUCGUGGCAGCAUCAUGCUGAGGGGACACUUUUCUUCUUAGGAUUGUGAAGCUGGUCUGAGUUAAAGUAAAGGUAAAUGGAGAUAAAUACAGGCUAAAGUAGAGACUGGAGUGGAGGUUUACCUUUCAGCAGGACAACAACCGUAAACACAGCUAGUGUCUUCGGCCAGUCUAGAGUAAGGGUCCUCAGCCUGCGGCUCCGGAGCCGCAAGUAGCUCUUUGGACCUUCCACAAUGGUUAUUUAAAACUUUAGCAAAAAAAAAAAAAAAAAAAA